rnacentral:rRNA from 1 species
GGGGGGGGGGGGGGGGGGGGGGGGGGGGGGCGGGGGGGGGGGGGGGGGGGGGCUGGGGGGGGGGGUCAGGGGGGGAGGGGGGAGGAAGGCCGGGGGCUCUGCGGGGGAGGGGGGGAUAACGUCCGGAGACGGGCGCUACUACCGCAUCCGUCCUGCGGGAGACAUGGGGGGGUCUGCGGACCUCACUCUGGCGUAUAAGCCUAGUGCGUCUUUGCUCGUUGGUGGGGUAAUGGCCUACCAAGGCGACGAUCCGUAACUGGUCUGAGAGGAUGAUCAGUCACACUGGAACUGAGACACGGUCCAGACUCCUACGGGAGGCAGCAGUGGGGAAUAUUGGCCAAUGGGCGAAAGCCUGAUCCAGCCAUGCCGCGUGUGUGAAGAAGGUCUUCGGAUUGUAAAGCACUUUAAGUUGGGAGGAAGGGCAGUAAGUUAAUACCUUGCUGUUUUGACGUUACCAACAGAAUAAGCACCGGCUAACUUCGUG